rnacentral:tRNA from 1 species
AAUUAAAUAGUCUAAUUAGGAUUUUAAAUUGCAAAUUUAAAGGUAUUAUAAAAAUAAUUUUAAUUU